UGCUGCGAAGCAAUCGGAAGUGGUUCCAAGAAAAGCCUCUAAGCUUCAGUCAUACGAGACCGUACCGCAAACCGACACAGGUGGGCGAGAUGAGUAUUCUAAGGCGCUUGAGAGAACUCGGGAGAAGGAACUCGGCAAAUUGGUACCGUAACUUCGGGAAAAGGUACGCCCCGGUAGCUUGAUCACUUUACUGUGUGAGGGCGAAAGGGUUGCAAUAAACUGGUGGCUGCGACUGUUUAAUAAAAACACAGCACUCUGCAAACACGAAAGUGGACGUAUAGGGUGUGACGCCUGCCCGGUGCUGGAAGAUUAAAUGAUGGGGUGCAAGCUCUUGAUUGAAGUCCCAGUAAACGGCGGCCGUAACUAUAACGGUCCUAAGGUAGCGAAAUUCCUUGUCGGGUAAGUUCCGACCUGCACGAAUGGCGUAACGAUGGCCACACUGUCUCCUCCCGAGACUCAGCGAAGUUGAAAUGUUUGUGAUGAUGCAAUCUACCCGCGGCUAGACGGAAAGACCCCAUGAACCUUUACUGUAGCUUUGCAUUGGACUUUGAACCAAUCUGUGUAGGAUAGGUGGGAGGCUUUGAAGCGGGGACGCCAGUUCUCGUGGAGCCAUCCUUGAAAUACCACCCUGGUUUGUUUGAGGUUCUAACCUUGGUCCGUUAUCCGGAUCGGGGACAGUGCAUGGUAGGCAGUUUGACUGGGGCGGUCUCCUCCUAAAGUGUAACGGAGGAGUUCGAAGGUACGCUAGGUACGGUCGGACAUCGUGCUAAUAGUGCAAUGGCAUAAGCGUGCUUAACUGCGAGACCGACAAGUCGAGCAGGUACGAAAGUAGGACAUAGUGAUCCGGUGGUUCUGUAUGGAAGGGCCAUCGCUCAACGGAUAAAAGGUACUCUGGGGAUAACAGGCUGAUUCCUCCCAAGAGUUCAUAUCGACGGGGGAGUUUGGCACCUCGAUGUCGGCUCAUCACAUCCUGGGGCUGUAGCCGGUCCCAAGGGUAUGGCUGUUCGCCAUUUAAAGUGGUACGUGAGCUGGGUUUAAAACGUCGUGAGACAGUUUGGUCCCUAUCUGCCGUGGGCGUUGGAAAUUUGAAGGGGGCUGCUCCUAGUACGAGAGGACCGGAGUGGACGAACCUCUGGUGUACCGGUUGUCACGCCAGUGGCAUUGCCGGGUAGCUAAGUUCGGAAGAGAUAACCGCUGAAAGCAUCUAAGCGGGAAACUUGCCUUGAGAUGAGAUUUCCCGGAGCCUUGAGCUCCUUGAAGGGUCGUUCGAGACCAGGACGUUGAUAGGCUGGGUGUGGAAGUGCAGUAAUGCAUUAAGCUAACCAGUACUAAUUGCCCGUACGGCUUGUCCCUAUAACCUUAGCAGGU
rnacentral:rRNA from 1 species